rnacentral:tRNA from 1 species
GCCCGAGUGGUGAAAUUGGUAGACACGCGAGACUUAAAAUCUCGUGACCUUUACGGUUGUGUGGGUUCGAUUCCCGCCUCGGGCA